UCGAACUCUCUCUCAGAUUUGUCAAGUAAUCUUUGUCGCCACACGAUCGCGCCUCUUCAGGUGGCUCAAUCUCUACUUCAUUUGCGAUUCGUCACUCUCCAUCCCGGCACUCUAGCUGCUUGAUCUCAGAUUUGUUUGCGAUUUACACUCUCCUCUCACACUCGAGGUACUCUCCCUUUGUCGGUUUCGUUUUCGAUUACUUCUUGCGAGGAGCACUAGCGUGGUGGGGUAA
rnacentral:lncRNA from 1 species